UACAGAGGUCCCAAGCGUUGUUCGGAUUCACUGGGCGUAAAGGGUGCGUAGGUGGUGAGGUAAGUCGGACGUGAAAUCCCUCGGCUCAACCGAGGAACUGCGUCUGAUACUGGAAGGCUUGAAUCCGGGAGAGGGAUGUGGAAUUCCAGGUGUAGCGGUGAAAUGCGUAGAUAUCGGGAGGAACACCAAUGGCGAAGGCAGCUUGCUGGGACGGUACUGACGCUGAGGCGCGAAAGCGUGGGGAGCGAACAGG
rnacentral:rRNA from 1 species